AUUGAUGUGAUGAGCAAUUACUUUCGCCCCUAACUGAAAAUAUCUAACUGUUGAAUGCGAUUGAUUGGUCUUACUGAAUUCAGCAA